rnacentral:rRNA from 1 species
GCCUGCCCAGUGACCCUGUUCAACGGCCGCGGUAUCCUAACCGUGCGAAGGUAGCGUAAUCACUUGUUCUUUAAAUGAGGACUAGUAUGAAUGGCAUUACGAAGGUUACACUGUCUCCUUUCUCUAAUCAAUGAAACUAACCUCCCCGUGAAGAGGCGGGGAUUAUAAUAUAAGACGAGAAGACCCUAUGGAGCUUCAAACAACACAGCAUUAGCCUUAUAAUCACACAUUCCAGAAAAAUAAACGUUACCCUGGCUAUAUGACUAUUAGUUUUAGGUUGGGGUGACCGCGGAGUAUAAACUAGCCUCCAUAUUGAAUGGUAGUCUCCUGAGCAAAAAGCUACAACUUUAAGCACCAACAAAUUGACAUUAAUUGACCCAAUAUAUUGAUCAACGAACCAAGUUACCCUAGGGAUAACAGCGCAAUCCACUUCAAGAGCUCAUAUCGACAAGUGGGUUUACGACCUCGAUGUUGGAUCAGGGUGUCCCAGUGGUGCAGCCGCUACUAAAGGUUCGUUUGUUCAACGAUUAAAACCCUACGUGAUCUGAG